CGCAGCCGCGGUAAUUCCAGCUCCAAUAGCGUAUAUUAAAGUUGUUGCAGUUAAAAAGCUCGUAGUUGAAUUUCGAGAUCAAUAUGUUGGUCGUGCCUUUGGUACGUACUGGUAUUAUUGGUUUCUCCUUUCUGAUGAAUCACGAUGUCAUUAAUUUGGUGUCAUGGGGAAUCAGGACUGUUACUUUGAAAAAAUUAGAGUGUUUAAAGCAGGCUUACGCUUGAAUACAUUAGCAUGGAAUAAUGAAAUAGGGCGUUUAAUUCUAUUUUGUUGGUUUCUAGGAUUGACGUAAUGAUUAAUAGGGAUAGUUGGGGGCAUUAGUAUUCAAUUGUCAGAGGUGAAAUUCUUGGAUUUAUUGAAAGACUAACUACUGCGAAAGCAUUUGCCAAGGAUGUUUUCAUUAAUCAAGAACGAAAGUUAGGGGAUCGAAGACGAUCAGAUACCGUCGUAGUCUUAACCAUAAACUAUGCCGACUAGGGAUCGGAUGAUGUUAAUUUAUGACUCAUUCGGCGUACCCG
rnacentral:rRNA from 1 species